CUGGCUCAGAUUGAACGCUGGCGGCAUGCUUUACACAUGCAAGUCGAACGGUAAC
rnacentral:rRNA from 1 species